AGAUGAGAGCGAUGAAUGAGAAUAAUUUCCCUAUUGGUUUGAUUGGUUGAUAUGAUGUCCUAAAUACUUGAAUGAAUCUGAUCAUCC